GGUUUCUAUAAUAAACACACAAAACAUUUAUUUGCAGAGAAGAGUUAUAAUGUCUACAUCUAAAGUUGCUAUAUUUUGUAUUAUCCUCGUUUCUUUUGCUAGUUUUCAUGAAUGUACGGCGGUUUUCGUCCAAUCAUGUAUCACCAUUGCCAUUAAAAUCAUAAAAAAAUCCUCCAUCAUCAUUUUUAAUUUUUUUAUUCGUUUAAUUUUAUGCAGGUGUCAACCUGGAAAGAGCUUCCAAACUGACAUGCUCUAAAUCACCACAUAAUAUUUGGUGCUGCAGCUCAAAUAAACAAUGCCGAAGUUCCAAAUUGGAAUGUCAGAAGGUCUGUAUCAACGGCCGUUGAAGUUUUCUGGAAAAAUUCUAUAGUUAUAUAAAUUUAAAUAUUUCCAAUUAUUAUGUUCUAAAGAUUUUCGUAUUUCUAAAAUUUAAGAAGUUUAAAUUUUAUAGAAAAAAAAAGAAUAAAAAAAUUUAGUCUGUUUAACUGUAUUUAAUGAUGUAAAGUAUUGGUUUAUUGAAUAAAAUUGAUAAUAAUAAUAUCACAAUACUAAAAGGGAC
rnacentral:lncRNA from 1 species